AGUCGACGCUUUGUCUUUAACUGAUAUGACGAGCUUGCUCUGAUUUGAUUUUAUCUGACAAAGAGUGGCGAACGGGUGAGUAACACGUGGGUAACCUACCUCUUAGCAGGGGAUAACAUUUGGAAACAAGUGCUAAUACCGUAUAAUACCAACAACCGCAUGGUUGUUGGUUGAAAGAUGGUUCUGCUAUCACUAAGAGAUGGACCCGCGGUGCAUUAGCUAGUUGGUAAGGUAACGGCUUACCAAGGCAAUGAUGCAUAGCCGAGUUGAGAGACUGAUCGGCCACAAUGGGACUGAGACACGGCCCAUACUCCUACGGGAGGCAGCAGUAGGGAAUCUUCCACAAUGGGCGCAAGCCUGAUGGAGCAACGCCGCGUGUGUGAUGAAGGGUUUCGGCUCGUAAAACACUGUUAUAAGAGAAGAACGGCACUGAGAGUAACUGUUCAGUGUGUGACGGUAUCUUACCAGAAAGGAACGGCUAAAUACGUGCCAGCAGCCGCGGUAAUACGUAUGUUCCAAGCGUUAUCCGGAUUUAUUGGGCGUAAAGCGAGCGCAGACGGUUAUUUAAGUCUGAAGUGAAAGCCCUCAGCUCAACUGAGGAAUGGCUUUGGAAACUGGAUGACUUGAGUGCAGUAGAGGAAAGUGGAACUCCAUGUGUAGCGGUGAAAUGCGUAGAUAUAUGGAAGAACACCAGUGGCGAAGGCGGCUUUCUGGACUGUAACUGACGUUGAGGCUCGAAAGUGUGGGUAGCAAACAGGAUUAGAUACCCUGGUAGUCCACACCGUAAACGAUGAGUGCUA
rnacentral:rRNA from 1 species